UCGAACGAUGAACCUGUGCUUGCACGGGGGAUUAGUGGCGAACGGGUGAGUAACACGUGAGUAACCUGCCCUUGACUUCGGGAUAAGCCUGGGAAACUGGGUCUAAUACUGGAUACGACCUCUCAUCGCAUGGUGUGGGGGUGGAAAGUUUUUGCGGUUUUGGAUGGACUCGCAGCCUAUCAGCUUGUUGGUGAGGUAAUGGCUCACCAAGGCGACGACGGGUAGCCGGCCUGAGAGGGUGACCGGCCACACUGGGACUGAGACACGGCCCAGACUCCUACGGGAGGCAGCAGUGGGGAAUAUUGCACAAUGGGCGAAAGCCUGAUGCAGCGACGCCGCGUGAGGGACGACGGCCUUCGGGUUGUAAACCUCUUUCAGUAGGGAACAAGGCAUCAUUUUUGUGGUGUUGAGGGUACUUGCAGAAGAAGCACCGGCUAACUACGUGCCAGCAGCCGCGGUAAUACGUAGGGUGCAAGCGUUAUCCGGAAUUAUUGGGCGUAAAGAGCUCGUAGGCGGUUUGUCGCGUCUGUCGUGAAAGUCCGGGGCUCAACUCCGGAUCUGCGGUGGGUACGGGCAGACUAGAGUGAUGUAGGGGAGACUGGAAUUCCUGGUGUAGCGGUGGAAUGCGCAGAUAUCAGGAGGAACACCGAUGGCGAAGGCAGGUCUCUGGGCAUUAACUGACGCUGAGGAGCGAAAGCAUGGGGAGCGAACAGGAUUAGAUACCCUGGUAGUCCAUGCCGUA
rnacentral:rRNA from 1 species